rnacentral:rRNA from 2 species
ACAUGCGAGUCGAGCGGACAGAUGGGAGCUUGCUCCCUGAUGUUAGCGGCGGACGGGUGAGUAACACGUGGGUAACCUGCCUGUAAGACUGGGAUAACUCCGGGAAACCGGGGCUAAUACCGGAUGCUUGUUUGAACCGCAUGGUUCAAACAUAAAAGGUGGCUUCGGCUACCACUUACAGAUGGACCCGCGGCGCAUUAGCUAGUUGGUGAGGUAAUGGCUCACCAAGGCAACGAUGCGUAGCCGACCUGAGAGGGUGAUCGGCCACACUGGGACUGAGACACGGCCCAGACUCCUACGGGAGGCAGCAGUAGGGAAUCUUCCGCAAUGGACGAAAGUCUGACGGAGCAACGCCGCGUGAGUGAUGAAGGUUUUCGGAUCGUAAAGCUCUGUUGUUAGGGAAGAACAAGUACCGUUCGAAUAGGGCGGUACCUUGACGGUACCUAACCAGAAAGCCACGGCUAACUACGUGCCAGCAGCCGCGGUAAUACGUAGGUGGCAAGCGUUGUCCGGAAUUAUUGGGCGUAAAGGGCUCGCAGGCGGUUCCUUAAGUCUGAUGUGAAAGCCCCCGGCUCAACCGGGGAGGGUCAUUGGAAACUGGGGAACUUGAGUGCAGAAGAGGAGAGUGGAAUUCCACGUGUAGCGGUGAAAUGCGUAGAGAUGUGGAGGAACACCAGUGGCGAAGGCGACUCUCUGGUCUGUAACUGACGCUGAGGAGCGAAAGCGUGGGGAGCGAACAGGAUUAGAUACCCUGGUAGUCCACGCCGUAAACGAUGAGUGCUAAGUGUUAGGGGGUUUCCGCCCCUUAGUGCUGCAGCUAACGCAUUAAGCACUCCGCCUGGGGAGUACGGUCGCAAGACUGAAACUCAAAGGAAUUGACGGGGGCCCGCACAAGCGGUGGAGCAGGUGGUUUAAUUCGAAGCAACGCGAAGAACCUUACCAGGUCUUGACAUCCUCUGACAAUCCUAGAAGAUAGGACGUCCCCUUCGGGGGCAGAGUGACAGGUGGUGCAUGGUUGUCGUCAGCUCGUGUCGUGAGAUGUUGGGUUAAGUCCCGCAACGAGCGCAACCCUUGAUCUUAGUUGCCAGCAUUCAGUUGGGCACUCUAAGGUGACUGCCGGUGACAAACCCGAGGAAAGGUGGGG